GUGGGGAAUAUUGCACAAUGGGCGCAAGCCUGAUGCAGCGACGCCGCGUGCGGGAUGGAGGCCUUCGGGUUGUAAACCGCUUUUGUUUGGGAGCAAGCCCUUCGGGGUGAGUGUACCUUUCGAAUAAGCACCGGCUAACUACGUGCCAGCAGCCGCGGUAAUACGUAGGGUGCGAGCGUUAUCCGGAUUUAUUGGGCGUAAAGGGCUCGUAGGCGGUUCGUCGCGUCCGGUGUGAAAGUCCAUCGCCUAACGGUGGAUCUGCGCCGGGUACGGGCGGGCUGGAGUGCGGUAGGGGAGACUGGAAUUCCCGGUGUAACGGUGGAAUGUGUAGAUAUCGGGAAGAACACCAAUGGCGAAGGCAGGUCUCUGGGCCGUUACUGACGCUGAGGAGCGAAAGCGUGGGGAGCGAACAGGAUUAGAAACCCUAGUAGUCC
rnacentral:rRNA from 1 species